UACGAAGGGUGCAAGCGUUACUCGGAAUUACUGGGCGUAAAGCGUGCGCAGGCGGUUUUGUAAGUUUGUCGUGAAAUCCCCGGGCUCAACCUGGGAACUGCAUCUGUGACUGUAUAGCUAGAGUACGGUAGAGGGGGAUGGAAUUCCGCGUGUAGCAGUGAAAUGCGUAGAUAUGCGGAGGAACACCGAUGGCGAAGGCAACUCCCCUGGACCUGUACUGACGCUCAUGCACGAA
rnacentral:rRNA from 1 species